AUUUUGUGAUGAUAAACUUAACAUCAGUUCUGCUUCUGAACCAAGGAGGAAGAUAACCAUUUUUACCAAAGCUCAAUAUAUCUGAACU
rnacentral:snoRNA from 1 species